AUCCAUGUGGAAAUGUCUACUCCUCAUUCUUUUGGGAUCAGGACUACAUUUAUAACAUGCUACAUUAAUAAAGGAGUUUUCAGGGCUGCCAACCUUACAGUAGAGGUUGAGUGGUAGUGUAUUUCUUCUAUAUAC
ensembl:snoRNA